rnacentral:rRNA from 1 species
ACAGGAUUAGAUACCCUGGUAGUCCACGCUGUAAACGAUGUCGACUUGGAGGUUGUGCCCUUGAGGCGUGGCUUCCGGAGCUAACGCGUUAAGUCGACCGCCUGGGAAGUACGGCCGCAAGGUUAAAACUCAAAUGAAUUGACGGGGGCCCGCACAAGCGGUGGAGCAUGUGGUUUAAUUCGAUGCAACGCGAAGAACCUUACCUACUCUUGACAUCCACGGAAUUCGCCAGAGAUGGCUUAGUGCCUUCGGGAACCGUGAGACAGGUGCUGCAUGGCUGUCGUCAGCUCGUGUUGUGAAAUGUUGGGUUAAGUCCCGCAACGAGCGCAACCCUUAUCCUUUGUUGCCAGCACGUAAUGGUGGGAACUCAAAGGAGACUGCCGGUGAUAAACCGGAGGAAGGUGGGGAUGACGUCAAGUCAUCAUGGCCCUUACGAGUAGGGCUACACACGUGCUACAAUGGCAUAUACAAAGAGAAGCGAACUCGCGAGAGCAAGCGGACCUCAUAAAGUAUGUCGUAGUCCGGAUUGGAGUCUGCAACUCGACUCCAUGAAGUCGGAAUCGCUAGUAAUCGUAGAUCAGAAUGCUACGGUGAAUACGUUCCCGGGCCUUGUACACACCGCCCGUCACACCAUGGGAGUGGGUUGCAAAAGAAGUAGGUAGCUUAACCUUCGGGAGGGCGCUUACCACUUUGUGAUUCAUGACUGGGGUGAAGUCGUAACAAGGUAACC